GCGGAAGUGGCGGAAUUGGUAGACGCACCAGAUUUAGGUUCUGGCGCCGCAAGGUGUGAGAGUUCAAGUCUCUCCUUCCGC
rnacentral:tRNA from 2 species